rnacentral:rRNA from 2 species
GCCUUCUGAUAAAGUAUAGAAGGUCCAGCCUGCCCAGUGACAAAGUUAAACGGCCGCGGUACCCUAACCGUGCGAAGGUAGCGCAAUCACUUGUUCUUUAAAUAAGGACUAGUAUGAAUGGCAUCACGAGGGUUAUACUGUCUCCCCCCUUUAAUCAGUGAAACUGAUCUCCCCGUGAAGAAGCGGGGAUUAUUUUAUAAGACGAGAAGACCCUAUGGAGCUUUAAACUUAAACCACAUACCUUAAAUAAUUUCAUAACAAACAGGUAAGCUUGUGUUUCAGUUUUCGGUUGGGGUGACCACGGAGCAAAGCAAAACCUCCAUGAUGAAAAGAUUUUUUUUCUUAAUCCAAGAACAACAUUUCAAAGAAUCAGAAUACUGACAUAAUUGAUCCAAACACUUUGAUCAACGAACCAAGUUACCCUAGGGAUAACAGCGCAAUCCAUUUCAAGAGCUCAUAUCGACAAAUGGGUUUACGACCUCGAUGUUGGAUCAGGGUAUCCCAGUGGUGCAGCCGCUACUA